CAUUCACAUUAAAUUUAGUUACCUCCACUGACAUGUUAUAUCCUAAAAAUGAUAUUCCUAUACUUUCCUACAUUGUCCUGCUGAUAACAUUUAGGUGUUUUAUGCUUUCAGACUGCAACCCCUUCCCGCCAUUUUUGACGUAAACAAGACGUGCUUCAAACUUUCUUCAUGGUCUAGGCUAAAUACGUUUCUGCGCAUCUCUUCUCUGUUUGAAGAAACAAACUCACGUUUUCAUUCAUUAAUGAUAUUUAUAUUAAUAUAUUUAUCUGCAAGAACCAACAUGCUUAAGACGCAAACUCUUUGCAGGUAACCUUUCUUGUCAGUUGGUCACGAGACUCUCAAGAACACGUAUCGUUCGACGUCAUCGACGUCAAGCAAGUUUGAAUUCGCACUGGCGCGAAUAACGAAACGGAUAUGCGCUUGAAGGUAAAUACUUCGCCUAAAUAACGUACAUAAAGUUUGUCUUUUGGAGCUGAAAAACCGCCGAUAACUGCCUAUGUUGUACGCACGGAAUGGAGAAAUUUGUGAGAAUUUUAUGUUUCUUGGUCAGACGCGUUUUAAACGACUCAAAUAUAUAAAAGAUCGUUUGAGUGAACAAACGGCGUUGAAUUAUUGCUGCCUUCGCGUGCUCUCUGAAAUUCGAUAAUUCACACUUAAUUUAUCAUAAUUUAAAGAAAUAUUGAUAAUUCACACUUAAUUUAUCAUAACUUAAAGAAAUAUUGAUUAUUCACACUUCAUUUAUCACAACCGAAAGAAAUAUCAGAAAAUACGUAAUUUAAUCCACUACUAAAGGAUCUGUCCUAAGAUGCAAAUACAACAGAGGGCGCUGCAGUGUUGAUUUGAUUCUGCUGAAGUCCAAAACACUCGCUGAUCCCAGAUCUGUUUCAGUCAGAUGGUGACCCUGAUGACCCCUGAGACAUGCAUGGCUUCAGACCAGAACCUCAAUGGUAAAUAAGCAGUACAAGAGGACAGGUGUACAGUUAUCUGUGAGCUCCAUCCGUCUCCGGUAAUAAAACAUCAGUCAUGAGAAAACCGAAGUCAGUAUGAGACGGAUUAUCAGAGGAAGAGGAAAGUCAUGGAAAGGACAAAUGUCAGGUCUGCAGCACCUACACAUUACUCUCUAUCACCAUUCAGACGGUCAGGUGAACAGUCACAGUGUGACACUCACUCAACAUGCCCAUGCCCAGCAUGAAGGCGUCCAUGGUGUAUGGAAGACUUCUCGCCCUGCCCCUCGUGCCGGGGGGAAACAUCACUUCCUUCGGCUGGGCCUUCUUACAUUCUACCUGUGGACAGAAAGAGAGAGAGAGAUUACAGAUCUUUAUGGAGAGCUGAAUACACAGUCUGAGUCAACGUCCCGUCAUUUCUUUCCCUGAUUCUUCUUUUGCUCUUUUCUCAUAUCCUCUCUUACUAGUUUUCUGUCAAUUGCUGGAGUUUUAAAGACACUUCAUCCUGUCAUGUGUAUAUCCCCAAUAAUAGUGGAUACAACUGCUGCUUUUCCUUCACUGUUUCCCUUCAUUAUUCACAAUCACAUCAGCAUCUCAUGUUAUCCUCUCAUUAUCCUCCUCUGCACAAAAGCCUCUUCUUACAUUUUUUCCAGACAAAUUACUUUAGUCCUACAUUGCUCAUCCCUUCACCUUGUCUAUGCGUUUUCUUGCAUCUCUUUGCAUC